AUGAACGCUAGCGACAGGCCUAACACAUGCAAGUCAGGGGCAGCACAAGGAGCAAUCUGAGGUGGCGACCGGCGCACGGGUGAGUAACACGUAUGCAACCUGCCUGUAAGCGGGGAAUAACCCGUUGAAAGACGGACUAAUACCGCAUAAUACUAAAUUACUGCAUGGUAAUUUAUUUAAACAUUUAUGGCUUACAGAUGGGCAUGCGCAUGAUUAGCUAGUUGGAGAGGUAACGGCUCCCCAAGGCAACGAUCAUUAGGGGUCUGAGAGGAAGGUCCCCCACACUGGUACUGAGACACGGACCAGACUCCUACGGGAGGCAGCAGUGAGGAAUAUUGGUCAAUGGACGAGAGUCUGAACCAGCCAAGUCGCGUGCAGGAAGAAUGUCCCUAUGGAUUGUAAACUGCUUUUGCAGGGGAACAAAGUGCAUCACGUGUGAUGUUUUGUAUGUACUCUGCGAAUAAGGAUCGGCUAACUCCGUGCCAGCCGCCGC
rnacentral:rRNA from 1 species